CUUUGCAAGAACACAACUUCGCAUAUAAAAUGCUGCGAGGACGCGCUGCCGAAAAAGGUUUAUUAAUAUGUUUCUCGCUAAUCAGAAACCCCCGUGGCCAAUCAGGACUGAACUCGGUGAAACUUACACAAAAAGAUAAAUAAAAAAACACACUAAUUCAGAACCUUUUAAGAUUAAACUAGAUAAAAUGGCAUUGUUAUUGUGUGUGAUCGUGAAAAUGUACGUAAGUUUUUGUUAGAGCCUAUCCAAAGUUUUACAGGAAUAGAUUUUAUUUGUGCGCCAUCUUGAGGCGUCAACCCUAGUCUCAACGGGUAGUAGACCUUAAAGGGACAAUAAACGAAUUUAUCGCUUUUAGGUAGAACUAAUUAGAUUAUAGCAAGAUGUGACACACCGUCUGUGUGAGUUGAUCUCCUAUGCUUGUGAAAUGGCUGAAGAUGACCACAACAUUCCUGGAAUGGACCGCACAGAUGAAUUUGUUCGUGAGCAGACAGGAUUGACCCUGAACAAUCAACAAGUUAGCGCCAUUCUAGGCUUGUGGCAGAACCUUGAAGAAUAUGACAAAAACAGGAUCGUGUAUGCUACACGACAUCAGGAGUAGUGGCUAACCGGAUGCUUCAGGCUGUGUCCACUCCUGGACACAGCACAAUAGAGAGCACAAUAGUGUGUUGUGUUGCCAGCUUAGUGGUCAAACUGUUGCCUGAUUGAGACUAUCUUUAUAAGGCUGUGCAACAUUCAAACAAGCCCUAAAACAGAGGACAGCACAGCCUAUCAAGCUGGUCUCUAAUUCUACAGGACUACAAAAAGAUCAGGCAGCUGGUUUGAUCUAACGGGACACUAAUGCAGCAGAAGACCCUUCAACUAGUUGAAGUGAACCACAGAGGCAUAACCAGCGGUUGAAGGGCCAGGAGGUGUCUGUUCUGUUGCAGGGAGUACAGCUGCUGGUCGCACAGCCAGUGGCAGGUGAGCCACAGUUUCCUGCAGAAAUAAAGCUUGUCUCUCUGCUCCACUAUCAACACCAGCUGCACUCAUACCACAUGCCACUGAUUACAGCUGGACCGAAAAAAAAAAACGAGUUUCUGGUGAAAUGAGACUGCAGUUGGCUCCAGAGAAGCAUGAGCCCUCCCUCUUUCACUGCUCAGUCUCCCAAGCUUCAAAUUCCUCAGGUCCCAAUGGAGAGAGGCUCAUUUAGCCCAAGUUUGUAGUGUCAUAGCUUGAUUUUGUAUCCGUUGAUGGGAUUUUUUUUUAAAACCGAA
rnacentral:lncRNA from 1 species